ensembl:lncRNA
AUGUAUUUUGUGUUCGUUAGACUACAGGCAUGGGAUUUUUCUAAAGCUUUCUCUGCUGGCCUUGCACUGUUCCCACCUAAGCACAUAGAACCAUACAGUCCACUUUCAUGGUCAGUGACUAGAAGCCAGUCUCCAAAGCUGCUAACAACUCCUGCUCCAGAGCCAACUUCACUGCAGCCAUCCUUUUCAUGCGAGUCCAGGAAACAAAUUCACAGCACGCUUAUUAGUAGCUACUCUAAUAUCAGUAGCGUUUCGGGUGCUAGAAAGACACAGCAAAUAAUUCAUAAGAUAUAUUCUGGCACAUCUCCCAUAGAAAAGCUGCCAGCAGACAGUACUUGAACUCCUGAUGCCUGUUCUGCAUCUGUGCCUCCUCAAGCUCUGUCUUCCUCCCCAGCCUUUCAGCAAGGCUGCGCUUCAGUGAAAGGCUUCUUCCAUCAGCGUCCUGCAGAGAGAAACCUAGAAAUACUUGAAGAGCAUCUGCUGGAAGGAAGAUUUGAGCACAGUCAGCCACAAGCUUCACAUUUUCAAGCUUAGUUUCUUAAAUUGGCCUUUCCACUGCUCAAAUGGUGUGCCAUUUCUACAGUCAACACAGAUCUGCAAUGCAUCUUCCUCUCUCCUACGUAGCACACACCCUUUCACUGUCCUAUUUAAAUGAAAGUAACCAAACAACAGCUCACAGGAUGUUCUUACCCACAGAGACUUUCCCUUUCCGCCUUUCUCAAGAAGGGUCAAUUGAAUCCCACGGUCUAUCACUAAAGCAAAACAUAGUUUUUCCAAGUCACAGAAACCCAUUGCCAAUAGAAGUCUGGUGCUGUUAGCUCAUGUCCAUAAAAAAUCCCUCAAAUACACUGUUAUUACAGCCAACACAGUGUCAUCUUUCCACUGCAAUGCACUUACAGUAUUCCUAGUCUCAGUCCUGCUGAGACAGUGGCCAGGGAAACCAAGUCUGCUUGACAGCUGUACAUUGCUCUGAGCAAAGCAGCACAUGCAAAAAAAAAUGCUGCACAACACUAUCGUCGUGUUCUUCUUUUAAUCAAUUUGUGAAACAUCCCCAGACAUCUACUAAGACUGAGGUAAAAUACGCAAAGUUAAAGGAGGCCUGUAAUCGGUGAUUUCUGGGAACUCUGUAGAACUGAAGAACUUCCAAAGCAAAUGGGCAUUUCUGUAGAGCAGAGGGAAAGGAGUCAGUUCCAGAUAAACCCUCCUGCUGUGCAGAAAGCCUGCAGGUGCACAGCGGAACAAAGUCACUAGGCCCUAAGAGCGAGAUCAUUUUUCCUUUUCCUUUUUCUUGUAUGUUCUGCAGACUUUCCCAUUGAGUAUUUGAAAUCUGAGGGAGAUAUUCCAAAGUAGUUCACCUUACUUUUUUCAUAAGCAGUCAUUACGCAAUAUCCCAAACCGCCUUUCUGAACCGCACCACCGCAGAAUACAUGAAAUGGUUUUUUGUUUUUGAUUUUGUUUUCUGAAGGUAUUUCAUGGUGGUGAGUUUAAAAGGCGGAUAGCAGCCAAAGAGAACUACAUGGUAAGGAGUCGCGAACUUUGGUCCAGUUUGCAAAUUCCCUUGCAUCCUUCUGGGCAUCCUCUUAGGACUCUGGUCUUUCUCCAGAGAGAUUUGUAUUAUUUUUUCCACUUCACUCCCCUUCCCUCUGUUCCAUCCCCUCCCCUUCCCUCUGUUCCAUCCCCUCCCCUUCCCCGUUACCUUAACUUCCCUUGCCUGACCUUAACUUAUCUUCAUUUACGUUUCAUUUGUUCUCCUUUUUUUGCCUAUUGACUGGGUCAUCAGGAAGAACACAGAGAACAAGAAAAGGGAUGAGCUUUUUAUAUGGUCUAUUUCAAAAUAAUAGAAAAAUAAAGCCGUGUCUUAUAGUGAAAAGGUAAGCUUA